AGGAAGUUGUGCAGUUCUUAGAUACCAAACAUUGAGAACACUAUCAAGUCUACAAUCUAUGCAGUGAAAGAACUUAUAAUUGUAAGUACUUCCAUGACAAUGUCCAGCGAAUCAAGAUUGAUGAUCACAAUGUCCCCAGUCUAAGUGAGAUGGUGGCAUUCGCCAAGGAAGUGGAUGAGUGGAUGUCUCAAGAUGACAAAA